AACGAACGCUGGCGGCAGGCCUAACACAUGCAAGUCGAGCGGGGGAGCAAUCCCUAGCGGCGGACGGGUUAGUAACGCGUGGGAACAUACCCUUUGGUACGGAAUAGCCUCGGGAAACUGAGAGUAAUACCGUAUGUGCCCUUCGGGGGAAGGAUUUAUCGCCAAAGGAUUGGCCCGCGUUGGAUUAGGUAGUUGGUGGGGUAAUGGCCUACCAAGCCUACGAUCCAUAGCUGGUUUGAGAGGAUGAUCAGCAACACUGGGACUGCGACACGGCCCAGACUCCUGCGGGAGGCAGCAGUGGGGAAUAUUGGACAAUGGGCGAAAGCCUGAUCCAGCAAUGCCGCGUGAGUGAUGAAGGCCUUAGGGUUGUAAAGCUCUUUUACCCGGGAUGAUAAUGACAGUACCGGGAGAAUAAGACUCCGGCUAACUCCGUGCCAGCAGCCGCGGUAAUGUGACUACUG
rnacentral:rRNA from 1 species